UGCCCCACACCCUCCCUCACACCCUCCGUGUUUUCACACCCUGUUCCCUUGGUCCCUCCCACCUGCCACCUGUUUGAGCAGCCAGCUCUGGCUCCUCCCGCCCUGUCCCUUAUUAGCAGUUUGGGAAAGAGAAACGAUCCGGCAGAAACAUGUGACCCUCCUGCUUGGCCUGGGGCAGGAGGCAGCACUUAGGAGGCCAGGCUGCUGCCCAAGACCACAGAGCCACGGAGCCCAGAGCCACAGAGCACAUGGAGCUAUGGCCAUAGGGACGUGGCCACCAGGCUGCCCAGAGCUCCUGCCUGCUGAACCAGAGGAACCCUGCCUGGCUUCCCCUGCUGCCUCUUCCCUGUCUCCCGGCUUCCAUUUCCAGCGCCUGCAAAAGGCUUGGCACAGUGGAAGGUUCAAGAACUUUUUUUGAUGGACGAAAGAAGACUCGGCCACUUGUCAACCAACACACGGUGAUCGAAAGUGCAGUAGUUGUUCCACGUGUUCAUGCAGAAAAUGACAGGAGGUCAUCCAGGGACACUGUGACAGAGGCGAGUACUGUCCCUGUAGAGGGGGGCCGUGGGGGUGAGUAUCGGCGGAGGGCCUCUGGGGAGUGGGGUGCCGGGGAUGUGGCCACGCAGCUCAAGAGCAGGCAAUUCCCCUCCCUGCCGACGACAACGUCUGUCGUGACCACACCGAGCCUGAUGCAGGGACACGUGUCAUCGAUCCCUUGUUCCCAUGUGGGUCUUUUAGUUUAGCUAAUGCUGCAGCGAUAACACAGCUGGGGAAACUGAGACCCCAGAGCUGAAGAACUGCAAUCACCCGGGUUCUCAACGCAGACUUUCUGACUUCCUGCUCUGCACACGGGCCAUGAGCCUCUGUGGGCUUGUGGAGAAUAGUCUGGAUGCGGGAGUCAGAAUAUCUGGGUCUGCGUGUGGUUUCCACCCCUUUGUGACCCUUGUGUGAUACAUUCCCUGCCUGGAGCCUCGGUACUCACAUAAAACGGGGAUAAAUUGUUUCCUUCCAGGUCGCUAGCAGUCGGUUAAGCGGCUGACUCUUGGUCUUGGCUCAGGUCAUGAGCU